CCUAGGGUAAUGAAGAAACUGAGAACAGGUCUUCAUUAAAAGGGGUGAUGGCCAGAGCAGGAGAAUGUUUUAAAAGUUCAGGAGGAUGUGGGGAGAACAUAGUGGUUCUAAAUUCUAAAAGAAUUUCUCAAACAUCUUCCUGCCUUAUUAAUCUGCUGGUUUUAGGUUGUCUUUGAAUGUGCAGAGAGGGCAAAAACGUGAUACUUGUGCUGCAGGAUAUGCACUUUUUGCAUUUCCAUUAACUGUAAAACAAGAAUUGUUUUAAUUAAGUUGCUUCCAACUUCAGGUGCUCUAUUAAAAUAUAAUGAAGCAAUUAAGAUGUGUUACAAGUGAGUGAGAUACCCUUUUCACUUGGAAAUGCUAAAGUGGACGUCAAAGAUGCUUUCUUUCUUUCUUUUUUUUUUUUAAAGCAGGUGACCCAAUCUCCAGCAUGAGGAAGGAUGGAGUGGAAUGAAAUAAAAGCUUGUUAGUGGUAAAUGACAGUGUUUGAAAGGAAUUUGCAUACUAAAGAGAACAGGAAAAUGGUUAAAAGAUCUUGCCUCUUUGUUCUGAGUGUGGUGGUGCUCUUAAAGUGAGUCCCUUUUGGGAGCCAGCACCCUGAUCACUUAGAACAUGCAGGGCACUGGAUAAUUAGAGUAGAAGGGAGUUAGGUUGUCUGAGUGGGGUUGGCAGGUUAGUGCAGAUCACUUGCACCUGUAGGGAGUCUGAUGAGCUAGUGAGGUAAUUAGCUCACCAGCUGGGUAGCUGAGAAAAAAGCAAGCAAUGGCAAAAGCUGAGCCAGGGAAUAGGCCCCUUCUAUCUGCUGCUAUAUUGUAUUGUGCUUGGAGCAUAAGGUAGGACAACAGAAGCCCUCUUUCCCACCUCCGCCCCGGGAGUCAUGAUCACAGACCAUUGACGUCCAUGGUCUUUGGAGGGGGCCUGCAUGACAAUGUGGAGGGUUAGACACCUCCAUUGAAUUGCGUACUUCACGUGUGGCUUUCAGCUCUUUGCGCAAUAGCUUCCUUUUCCAUCAUGGCACAGCUACUCCUUCCUGAGUUGGAAACCAUAAUGGAUCUCUAUAUCAUACAGAGUUUGGAGGACUUAUUCAUUUUUCCUGCAAAACUUAAAUAAAGUGCAAAACUUUCAGCCCAUCAAUCCUUUAGCAAGCUGUCCAAGGUGACAUUUCAUUAGCACAUUUUGUCAGUGGAUAAAUCGUACAGCAUGCACUGAAGAGAAGGUGGAAAACAUCCAGUCCUUUUUCAUUAGAUCCAUCCCAAGUUGUAUCACUGGAGAUUACAUACAAAAAGCACACGAGACAGAGGAAGCGCUAGGCUGUCUAUAAACUGCAUUAAUCAUUCAUUCCCUUCCGAGUGCUUUAAGUCAGUGCCAUGUCUCUGGUUAGGCCCAAAACUGGCUAUUCAAUUUUGAGCUGCGUGACAGAUACAUUUCAAGGAAAAUCACAGACAUAACAACUGCUGCCAGGCUUGAUAAAGUCCUCAUUCAUCAAUUAAGAAGUUUCCAAUAAGGGGAGAUGGAUACAGCAAAAUAAGGCAGAUCGCAUGGUAAUGUGUACUGUGUUUUUUUUGUUUUCCCUCACCCCCUAUGCGCACGCGUUCUUGCUCGCUCACUGUCUUGCUGCUUUUGCUGAUUCUGAGAAGAGAGAAAUAAGGAUGUCAGCGGGGAGCUUUGAUUCACUAGGAUGCACUAAUUACCUAAGGGACUGGGACUACUUUGCUACUCCACCUACACUAAGUGACAAAGGGCUAAAGGAAGAUAACAAAUACCAUUUACUGUGGUGUGGAAAUGCUGAUUUUCACUUAAUGAAGUUUUUAGUGGUCAAGCUGAAAAUAGUUGUGCCAGUCAAAGGGGAUCUGCAUAAUAAUGACAACAAACACGCCUCGGGUGAACUUCUAUAAAAUAUGCCAUGUUCAUGAGCAGAGCUUCUCGCAUGCACUGGGGUAGAUUGAUGAACAGCUUAAACUUGAGAUAAGGCCAUUAAAGGGACACUGUCAGGUUAAAAAUCAUGGGCCAAUUUGUGGCUUGAAAUUGGGCGGUGGUGAGGGGCUGUGCUGCAGUUGGAAA